rnacentral:rRNA from 1 species
UACGAAGGGGGCUAGCGUUGCUCGGAAUCACUGGGCGUAAAGCGCACGUAGGCGGAUCUUUAAGUCAGGGGUGAAAUCCUGGAGCUCAACUCCAGAACUGCCUUUGAUACUGGGGAUCUCGAGUCCGGGAGAGGCGAGUGGAACUCCGAGUGUAGAGGUGAAAUUCGUAGAUAUUCGGAAGAACACCAGUGGCGAAGGCGGCUCACUGGCCCGGUACUGACGCUGAGGUGCGAAAGCGUGGGGAGCAAACAGG